GUAGUCCACGCCGUAAACGAUGAGAACUAGCCGUUGGAACUCUUGAAGUUUUAGUGGCGCAGCUAACGCGAUAAGUUCUCCGCCUGGGGAGUACGGCCGCAAGGUUAAAACUCAAAUGAAUUGACGGGGGCCCGCACAAGCGGUGGAGCAUGUGGUUUAAUUCGAUGCAACGCGAAGAACCUUACCUACCCUUGACAUCCUGCGAAUUUUGUAGAGAUACGAAAGUGCCUUCGGGAACGCAGAGACAGGUGCUGCAUGGCUGUCGUCAGCUCGUGUUGUGAAAUGUUGGGUUAAGUCCCGUAACGAGCGCAACCCUUGUCCUUAGUUACCAGCGAUUCGGUCGGGGACUCUAAGGAGACUGCCGGUGACAAACCGGA
rnacentral:rRNA from 1 species